rnacentral:rRNA from 1 species
AGUGAACGCUGGCGGUAGGCCUAACACAUGCAAGUCGAACGGCAGCACAGUAAGAGCUUGCUCUUACGGGUGGCGAGUGGCGGACGGGUGAGGAAUACAUCGGAAUCUACUUUUUCGUGGGGGGUAACGUAGGGAAACUUACGCUAAUACCGCAUACGACCUACGGGUGAAAGCAGGGGAUCUUCGGACCUUGCGCGAUUGAAUGAGCCGAUGUCGGAUUAGCUAGUUGGCGGGGUAAAGGCCCACCAAGGCGACGAUCCGUAGCUGGUCUGAGAGGAUGAUUAGCCAGACUGGAACUGAGACACGUUCCAGACUCCUACGGGAGGCAGCAGUGGGGAAUAUUGGACAAUGGGCGCAAGCCUGAUCCAGCCAUACCGCGUGGGUGAAGAAGGCCUUCGGGUUGUAAAGCCCUUUUGUUGGGAAAGAAAAGCAGCAGGUUAAUACCCCGCUGUUCUGACGGUACCCAAAGAAUAAGCACCGGCUAACUUCGUG